rnacentral:rRNA from 1 species
CAGUCGCCGCGGGAAUACCAGCACCUCGAGUGGUCAGGAGGUUUAUUGGGCCUAAAGCAUCCGUAGCCGGUUGCAUAAGUUUUCGGUUAAAUCUAUGCGCUUAACGUAUAGGCCGCCGAAAAUACUGUGCAGCUAGGGAGUGGGAGAGGUACACGGUACUCGAUAGGAAGGGGUAAAAUCCUUUGAUCUAUUGAUGACCACCUGUGGCGAAGGCGGUGUACCAGAACACGUUCGAUGGUGAGGGAUGAAAGCUGGGGGAGUAAACCGGAUUAGAUACCGCGUAGUCCCUGUCUCUUAUACU